GUAUUGUCUCCGAAAACAUUAAAUAUGAUAUUGACGUGUAAUGAUCAAGUGUCACGUUACUCAAACGCGUAUAUAUAUAAGUGUAGAAUUCAUCGUUAUAUCUCAUAACAAGGAAAAGUAUCAAAGAAGUUUAUUCAUCAUGAAAUACGAAAUUGUUUUUGUCGCUGUUCUGGCUAUUUUCGCGAUGUUUCUUGCGGAAAACUGCGUGGCAGCUAACGAAAUAUUCAAACCCAUAAGAGAUAUUAUGAACGAGACCAUCGAAACACCUAUGUCUAAGAUCAAGGACACUAUGUUCGGCAAAUGGUGAAGUUACUCGACUACAGAUUUCAGCAGUACAUCGCUACAAACAUAAUGGAAACUAGAUUUUAAUAUUUUCAAUAUCCAUGGAACUUAAAUAUGUAAUAAU